rnacentral:rRNA from 1 species
UACGUAGGGGGCAAGCGUUGUCCGGAAUCAUUGGGCGUAAAGAGCGUGUAGGCGGUUCGGUAAGUCGGCUGUGAAAGUCCAGGGCUCAACCCUGGGAUGCCGGUCGAUACUGCCGGACUAGAGUUCGGAAGAGGCGAGUGGAAUUCCCGGUGUAGCGGUGAAAUGCGCAGAUAUCGGGAGGAACACCUCUGGCGAAGGCAGCUCGCUGGGACGUUACUGACGCUGAGACGCGAAAGCGUGGGGAGCAAACAGG